rnacentral:rRNA from 1 species
GACGAACGCUGGCGGCGUGCCUAAUACAUGCAAGUCGUGCGGACUUAUCUUCGGAUAAGUUAGCGGCGGACGGGUGAGUAACACGUGGGCAACCUGCCUGUAAGACCGGGAUAACUCCGGGAAACCGGAGCUAAUACCGGAUACAAUCCCAGACCGCAUGGUCUGGGAUGGAAAGGUCAUGAACCACUUACAGAUGGGCCCGCGGCGCAUUAGCUAGUUGGUAGGGUAACGGCCUACCAAGGCGACGAUGCGUAGCCGACCUGAGAGGGUGAUCGGCCACACUGGGACUGAGACACGGCCCAG